rnacentral:rRNA from 1 species
UGCAAGUCGGACGGGAUUCAGGACAGAGCUUGCUUUGUCCUGAUGAGAGUGGCGCACGGGUGCGUAACGCGUGAGCAACCUGCCCCUGUCAAGGGGUAUAGCCCCUCGAAAGAGGGAUUAACACCGCAUGACGAUAUCCCCCGGCAUCGGGGGAUGUCCAAAUAUUCAUAGGACAGGGAUGGGCUCGCGUGGCAUUAGCUAGUUGGUUGGGUAACGGCUGACCAAGGCUACGAUGCCUAGGGGCUCUGAGAGGAGAAUCCCCCACACUGGUACUGAGACACGGACCAGACUCCUACGGGAGGCAGCAGUAAGGAAUAUUGGUCAAUGGAGGGAACUCUGAACCAGCCAUGCCGCGUGCAGGAGGAAGGCCCUACGGGUCGUAAACUGCUUUUGCCGGGGAACAGCCCUAUCUACGUGUAGGUAGCUGAGUGUACCCGGAGAAUAAGGAUCGGCUAACUCCGUGCCAGCAGCCGCGGUAAUACGGAGGAUCCGAGCGUUAUCCGGAUUUAUUGGGUUUAAAGGGUGCGUAGGCGGCUUUCUAAGUCAGGGGUGAAAUACAGCGGCUCAACCGUUGCAGUGCCUUUGAUACUGGAGGGCUUGAAUGUGGUCGAAGGCGGCGGAAUGGGACAAGUAGCGGUGAAAUGCAUAGACAUGUCCCAGAACCCCGAUAGCGAAGGCAGCUGCCUAGGCCAUAAUUGACGCUGAUGCACGAAAGCGUGGGGAUCGAACAGGAUUAGAUA